GAUGAACGCUGGCGGCGUGCCUAAUACAUGCAAGUCGAGCGAACGGACGAGAAGCUUGCUUCUCUGAUGUUAGCGGCGGACGGGUGAGUAACACGUGGAUAACCUACCUAUAAGACUGGGAUAACUUCGGAAACCGUAGCUAAUACCGGAUAAUAUUUUGAACCGCAUGGUUCAAAAGUGAAAGACGGUCUUGCUGUCACUUAUAGAUGGAUCCGCGCUGCAUUAGCUAGUUGGUAAGGUAACGGCUUACCAAGGCAACGAUGCAUAGCCGACCUGAGAGGGUGAUCGGCCACACUGGAACUGAGACACGGUCCAGACUCCUACGGGAGGCAGCAGUAGGGAAUCUUCCGCAAUGGGCGAAAGCCUGACGGAGCAACGCCGCGUGAGUGAUGAAGGUCUUCGGAUCGUAAAACUCUGUUAUUAGGGAAGAACAUAUGUGUAAGUAACUGUGCACAUCUUGACGGUACCUAAUCAGAAAGCCACGGCUAACUACGUG
rnacentral:rRNA from 1 species